rnacentral:rRNA from 1 species
CCUACGGGUGGCAGCAGUGAGGAAUAUUGGUCAAUGGACGCAAGUCUGAACCAGCCAUGCCGCGUGCAGGAAGACGGCUCUAUGAGUUGUAAACUGCUUUUGUACGAGGGUAAACGCAGAUACGCGUAUCUGUCUGAAAGUAUCGUACGAAUAAGGAUCGGCUAACUCCGUGCCAGCAGCCGCGGUAAUACGGAGGAUCCGAGCGUUAUCCGGAUUCAUUGGGUUUAAAGGGUGCGUAGGUUGUUUUAUAAGUUAGCGGUGAAAUACCGAUGCUCAACAUCGGGGCUGCCGCUGAUACUGUAGGACUAGAGAUCGGAUGCAGCAGGCGGAAUGUGUAGUGUAGCGGUGAAAUGCAUAGAUAUUACACAGAACACCGAUUGCGAAGGCAGCUUGCUAGGCCGGAUCUGACACUGAUGCACGAAAGCGUGGGGAUCGAACAGGAUUAGAUACCCCGGUAGUC